AAGGGACAUAUGAUUACUGGAUGGUUUUAGGAGACAAUUGUUUAUAACUAAUAACAGCAGAUGUAACUCAUUCUUCUUCAUUAAUUCACCCAUCAUAUGCAAUUUUUGCUAUAAAAGCUUUGCUAGAGAAGAAAUACCUGUUUGUGACUGAAUAGAAGAAGGAAUGAAUGAGUAGAUACCAACAGAAGGACUGCUGAUGAUACUUUCAAAAUGUUUCUCCAAGUGUAGGCAGUGGACCCCAUAGUGAAGUCAGCCAGAUUGCUGAUCUAAAAUGCGGGGCUCUCCAAGGUAAGGCUUGGAAGUGUGCACCUUAAGUUCCUGGGUGAUUCUCAUAGCUCUGAAGGCUAGCAUCUUUGCCUCAGAGGAAGGUGUAAGCAGAACUUGGGUGGACGUGGAAGCUGAGCUGUGCAUAUCUGAACAGAUCCUGAUGGUAGUGGGGAGAAGCCAGGAGAGAGAACCUCAGUUAGGCAGAAGCACUCUGAUGUCUGCUCUGAGGGGGUGGUUUGCAGAACUAUACUUCAAUUUAAAAAAGAAGAUAAAUUUGAAAAAACUAAAAAAAAAAAAAAAAAAAGAAAGAAAGAAAGAAAAGAAAACAGUAUUGGGUCUGGGACACUGAGCCCUGCCUCCUAGGAACGAGACACGCAAGAUGUCACAUACCAGCACACACAACAACGGCUCCCAGGACACUGCUGCUGCCUUAGGUUUGCCGCUGCUCUUAGCAUCUUUCCAAAAAGGGGCCAUCCCAACCUGGUGGUAAGGAAGAAGCUCCCCAGAGCAGGACAGAAUCCCACGGGGCAUGUCAGAGCAGACAAAGACUGGGUCCUAUGGGAGGAGUAAGUGGCUAUUAUAAGUUGUUUGGGCUUCUAUCUGUAGGUGACAGGGACCUCAAGACAUUUGCUUUUUAAGAUGAGAGCUGAUAUAUCCAAAAGUGCACUUGAGAAGAUGCAGCUGAGAAACAUGUACAGGUGGGAGGGGGCAGAAAACACAGGAAGGGAAUCCAGUAAGAAGAUCGCUGCUCAAGUUUACCCAUUAGAGUCCGUCUCCGUUUCCUGGAGAGUUUUCACAUUUCUGGCCAGUGCUGAUUAUUUCCAACUGACUCUCGAAAGUGUAGACAUUGUCUUAUCACUCUGUGUGUUUCCCACUAUGUAUGGUGCUGAAAUGAACCAAGCCAUGCCCAUCUCCUGGUAAUGACAAUACACUUGAUGUCUACUUCAAUGCAAAUCACAGUUAUCAGCCUUUUAUUUUUUAAUUCACCAUAUUAUUUUUUUUAAUUCACCCUACAAAUACGUACCAGAUUCAUAUUUUGUCCUGGAAUGAUGAGAGACGUUAUCUGCCCCCAUGGGCAGUGCCGUUCACUGCUUCCAAUGGACACGGAGGUGGGAGUGUGUGAGGGUGCUGCAGGUGCAAAUAACACCAGCAAAGGUCCAGGGACCCCGAAGAGAACUAUCUCCUCCAGGGAGGUAAGAACUGCCCCACAAGAGAUGGGGUAGUGGCAGUGGAGGAAAAGCAUGACCUUGAAUGUCCUACAAAGGAGUUUGACAUGUAACCUCCAGACACUAGGAAGCCAUUGAAGGCUUUGAAGCAGGUGAGUUCAUGGACCAGAUCUGGGUUUUAGAACAUAAACUUUCUAAGCAAGCACAGCAUGAACUGGCAAAGGUAGAUUCCUGGGAUGGGCACGUUCACUGGAACGUGGCUGCCACUGUCCAGGUGAAAGACGGUAGGGGCCCAAGUGAAGGCGCCAAUCUGAAGAGGCCAAAAGACCACGAGGAGAUCAAUCUAUACGCCUAAGGAGGAGCUGAAAAACAUCCCUGCCCUGAUGACCACGUGGUCCAAAGAAUGCCGCUGAUUAAACAUGCCUCAGGGAGGAAGAGUGUGUACGAGGCAGGCUGACACCUUGGGUUCUAAUUCAUUCCUCACUGCAGUUAGAGCAUCACGGUUUGCACUGAACUCACAGACCUGGCCACAGCCCUCCGCUGCUCUGAGCUCUCGCGUGGACCACCUUCCUCAGCCUCAUCAAGUUCCAACUCAUUACCGCCCAGGCCUACAUUCAUCAGCUGCCUGCUUGACGGAAGUGGUGGCAGUAGGUGUCCUUUCAGGAAAGGGUGGCUACAUGGUGAAUUAAGAGGCAGCGCCUACCUUUUUUUAAAUCAAUGUUUUGAAUUAAUUAAUACCUAAUAAUUCAAUUUUUUGAAUUAAUUAGUGCAAGAAACAUUUCCUGAGCGCCUCUGUGUAACCAGUACAUUAUCAAAGUAGCGAAAAGAACAGACAAAAAUCCCCACCCUCGUGUAGGAGACACUCUGGUGAGAGAGGCAGAUAAUACCCAGCAAGAAAGUAAUAGGGAGGCAGUGACAGUGUUAAGGGGGAAAGGUCGGGAAGAGAAGAACAGGGGAGGGAAAAGGAAACCUUUUCCUGAGGGAGAGGCCAAUGCGAAGGUACUUGUUGGGUAAAAUCCUGAAGGACGUGAGGGUGCCAGCCAAGGGACAGCAGGGGAAGAGCAUCCCAGGCAGAGCACACAGCAAGUGCAAAGGCCCUGGGGUGGGAGCCUGACUGCCUCCUAUACAUCCUACCUUACUGAGGCUCACAAGCUCAGAGUCACUGAUUUAUUCAUCUCUCCCAUAAGCCAGACCAUGUGCCAGGCACUUGAGAUACCAGAUGAAUAAGUUUCACUGCCAGUAAAUCCACACAUAGAGACGAAUGACAGGCUGAUGCUGCUUAAAAACUCAAACUGACUCUUCUAACUCACAAGGUCAAUGUUAGUUCAAAGGGACAAUUUGGCUUUUUUCAUUGGCUGUUUUCAGAGAGGGGCAAUGUAUCACUUUAAACAUAAAAUGUCACCCUUAUCUAUUUUAUGUGUAGAGAUGACACAUUUACUAUUUUAUUUGAAAAAACGAUUCUUCUGUUCAAAAGAGAAACGCGGCCUAACAGUUUCAUAACCACUGGACUAAACCUGGAACUUCCCUGCCAGCCUGGACAACAACUCAGGGCUGACAUGUCACCUAUCACUAGGACUGAGCCACCACACAAUUUCCAUGCAAUUCCACGACCCAACGCCAGCUCUGGACAACUCAGUUUAGACCUAAUAUGAGCGUCCACAGGAUUCAAACACAGCUGCUUAAUUCAAUUUUUAAAAAUUUAAUCACCCCCAUUUUUUUUU
rnacentral:lncRNA from 1 species